rnacentral:rRNA from 1 species
GACGAACGCUGGCGGCGUGCUUAACACAUGCAAGUCGAACGGAAAGGCCCUGCUUGCAGGGUACUCGAGUGGCGAACGGGUGAGUAACACGUGGGUGAUCUGCCCUGCACUUCGGGAUAAGCCUGGGAAACUGGGUCUAAUACCGGAUAGGAGCCAUUUUUAGUGUGAUGGUUGGAAAGUUUUUUCGGUGUAGGAUGAGCUCGCGGCCUAUCAGCUUGUUGGUGGGGUAAUGGCCUACCAAGGCGGCGACGGGUAGCCGGCCUGAGAGGGUGGACGGCCACAUUGGGACUGAGAGACGGCCCAGACUCCUACGGGAGGCAGCAGGGGGGAAUAUUGCACAAUGGGCGCAAGCCUGAUGCAGCGACGCCGCGUGGGGGAUGACGGCCUUCGGGUUGUAAACUCAUUUCGCUAGGGACGAAGCUUUUUGUGACGGUACCUAGAUAAGAAGCACCGGCUAACUACGUG